CGGGCUUUCGUACUUUUAGUUUCGUAAUUCUUUUCUACGUCGAAAUGUCAAUGUUUUCGGGCCCGAUUGCGGGCCCGGUAUUUUGGGCCUAAUUUUGGGCCGCUACUGUUAUUAAUUAAGAGGCUGCCACCUCUUGUUUUGUUUCAAAAAACGUUGCAAAGUUCCACUGGGGGAGAGGGGAGGUGGCAGUCCGUUUUCUUGAUUUAAAUGGACAAGCAAGAGGGGAAAUGGAGGGGAGGAAUGGGUUUUGGAUGGAAAAAUCCCUGCACCCCAAGUCCCAUUCCAAAAUAAAGAAGAAAAGAAAAUUAUUACAACAAGUUACAAACACGAGCUAAACCUAAGUACAACCGAUUCUACCGUCAUUCACUUUGUCGUCAUUCGCAAGGGGCUACCACCUGAAACACGACAAAAAAAAAGCUUCGAUUCAAAGGUAAUCAUCCAAACAUUCCUAUUCAAAAGCAUUCAUGCAAUAUUCAUACAUACAUUUGGUGGCACUUAUACUCUCUUAAAAAUCAUCCUCGAAUAUUCAUUAUGACUAAUCAAGGAAAUGUUUCAUGUUGGUAAACGUCCUAGCAAACCCUAAAAUAAAAUUCAAAACUUAACAAGUUGCUGAAAUUUUAUCAAGGAUGACACUAAAUGAUAACAUUUCAAACAAAUGGGUAAUUGUUAGAAAGUUCAGAUUUCUAAACUCAUCAUAACAACAAAAUAAUCCAGAUUUUAUUUCAAGUGACCUAAUCAAACAAAACUACCAUCAUCAACCAAGUAAAAUCAGAAUAAAUAAAGGGUUCAACCUUUUACCUUUCUCGUCCUUUGCUCCGGCGAGUCCGUCNNNN
rnacentral:lncRNA from 1 species